rnacentral:rRNA from 1 species
AGCGAACGCUGGCGGCAGGCCUAACACAUGCAAGUCGAGCGGCCGUAGCAAUACGGCAGCGGCAGACGGGAGAGUAACACGUGGGAACGCGCCCUUUGGUUCGGAAUAACUCAGGGAAACUUGAGCUAAUACCGGAUAAGCCCUUACGGGGAAAGAUUUAUCGCCAAAGGAACGGCCCGCGUCCGAUUAGCUAGUUGGUGAGGUAACGGCUCACCAAGGCGACGAUCGGUAGCUGGUCUGAGAGGAUGACCAGCCUCACUGGGACUGAGACACGGCCCAGACUCCUACGGGAGGCAGCAGUGGGGAAUAUUGGACAAUGGGCGCAAGCCUGAUCCAGCCAUGCCGCGUGAGUGAUGAAGGCCUUAGGGUUGUAAAGCUCUUUUAGCAGGGAAGAUAAUGACGGUACCUGCAGAAAAAGCCCCGGCUAACUUCGUGCCAGCAGCCGCAGUAAAAC